UACGUAUGGAGCAAGCGUUAUCCGGAUUUACUGGGUGUAAAGGGAGCGCAGGCGGUGAGGCAAGUCUGAUGUGAAACUCCGGGGCCCAACCCCGGACCUGCAUUGGAAACUGUCCCACUAGAGUGUCGGAGGGGUAAGUGGAAUUCCUAGUGUAGCGGUGAAAUGCGUAGAUAUUAGGAGGAACACCAGUGGCGAAGGCGGCUUACUGGACGACAACUGACGCUGAGGCUCGAAAGCGUGGGGAGCAAAC
rnacentral:rRNA from 1 species